rnacentral:rRNA from 1 species
UACGAGGGGGGCGAGCGUUGUUCGGAAUUAUUGGGCGUAAAGGGUGCGUAGGCGGUUUGAUAAGUCUUGUGUGAAAUCUCUGGGCUCAACCCAGAGUCUGCAUAGGAAACUGUCGGGCUUGAGUAUGGGAGAGGUGAGUGGAAUUCCCAGUGUAGAGGUGAAAUUCGUAGAUAUUGGGAAGAACACCGGUGGCGAAGGCGGCGCUCUGGACCGAGACUGACGCUGAGGCGCGAAAGCGUGGGGAGCAAACAGG